rnacentral:rRNA from 1 species
GACGAACGCUGGCGGCGUGCUUAACACAUGCAAGUCGAACGGAAAGGCCCUGCUUUUGUUGGGUGCUCGAGUGGCGAAAGGGUGAGUAACACGUGAGUAACCUGCCCUUGACUUUGGGAUAACUUCAGGAAACUGGGGCUAAUACCGGUUAGGAGCUCCUGCUGCAUGGUGGGGGUUGGAAAGUUUCGGCGGUUGGGGAUGGACUCGCGGCUUAUCAGCUUGUUGGUGGGGUAGUGGCUUACCAAGGCUUUGACGGGGAGCCGGCCUGAGAGGGUGACCGGCCACAUUGGGACUGAGAUAAGGCCCAGACGCCUACGGGAGGCAGCAGUGGGGAAUAUUGCACAAUGGGCGGAAGCCUGAUGCAGCAACGCCGCGUGCGGGAUGACGGCCUUCGGGUUGUAAACCGCUUUCGCCUGGGACGAAGCGUGAGUGACGGUAAUGGGUAAAGAAGCACCGGCUAACUACGUG